rnacentral:rRNA from 1 species
AUUGAACGCUGGCGGCAGGCUUAACACAUGCAAGUCGAGGGGUAACAAGAGGAAAGCUUGCUUUUCUUGUUGACGACCGGCGCACGGGUGAGUAACGCGUAUCCAACCUGCCUAUAACUAGGGAAUAACCUUGCGAGAGUAAGACUAAUACCCUAUGAUUUCCUUUGAUGACAUCAGAUUAGGAAUAAAGAUUUAUCGGUUAUAGAUGGGGAUGCGUCUGAUUAGCUUGUUGGCGGGGUAACGGCCCACCAAGGCAACGAUCAGUAGGGGUUCUGAGAGGAAGGUCCCCCACAUUGGAACUGAGACACGGUCCAAACUCCUACGGGAGGCAGCAGUGAGGAAUAUUGGUCAAUGGGCGGAAGCCUGAACCAGCCAAGUAGCGUGCAGGAUGACGGCCCUAUGGGUUGUAAACUGCUUUUAUACAGGAAUAAAGUUAGCCACGUGUGGUUAUUUGUAGGUACUGUAUGAAUAAGGACCGGCUAAUUCCGUGCCAGCAGCCGCCGUAA